UACGUAGGUGGCAAGCGUUAUCCGGAUUUAUUGGGUGUAAAGGGCGUGUAGGCGGGAGCGCAAGUCAGAUGUGAAAACUCAGGACUCAACCCUGAGCCUGCAUUUGAAACUGUGUUUCUUGAGUGCUGGAGAGGCAAUCGGAAUUCCGUGUGUAGCGGUGAAAUGCGUAGAUAUACGGAGGAACACCAGUGGCGAAAGCGGCUCUCUGGUCUGUAACUGACGCUGAGGUUCGAAAGCGUGGGUAGCAAACAGG
rnacentral:rRNA from 1 species